AGGUAAGCAAGCGCAUCGGGAUAAGAAGUUGCAAAAAAGAAAGCUAAUAAUUUCACCAGACAGUGAUUUGGACACCCCCGGGGAAAACAUGAA